UACGGAGGGGGCUAGCGUUGUUCGGAAUUACUGGGCGUAAAGCGCGCGUAGGCGGCUUUGUAAGUUAGAGGUGAAAGCCCGGAGCUCAACUCCGGAACUGCCUUUAAGACUGCAUCGCUAGAAUUGUGGAGAGGUGAGUGGAAUUCCGGGUGUAGUGGUGAAAUGCGUAGAGAUCCGGAGGAACACCAGUGGCGAAGGCGACUUACUGGACAAAUAUUGACGCUGAGGUGCGAAAGCGUGGGGAGCAAACAGG
rnacentral:rRNA from 1 species